rnacentral:misc_RNA from 1 species
GAUGAAGAACGUAGCGAAAUGUGAUACUUGGUGUGAAUUGCAGAAUCCCGUGAACCAUCGAGUCUUUGAACGCAAGUUGCGCCCGAAGCCAUUAGGCCGAGGGCACGCCUGCCUGGGCGUCACACGUCGUUGCCCCCCCAUCUACUCCUUCGGGAUUGCGGGGGGCGGAUGAUGGCCUCCCGUGCGCCUCGUCGCGCGGUUGGCAUAAAUGCCAAGUCCUCGGCGACGGACGCCACGACAAUCGGUGGUUGCGAAACCUCGGUUGCCCGUCGUGUGCGGUCGUCGCGCAUCGAGGGCUCGAAAAAAUUGUCGGGCUCCGGCUCGGCUUUCAACGCGACCCCAGGUCAGGCGGGGUUACCCGCUGAAUUUAAGCAUAUCAAUAAGCGGAGGA